GACAGAGGCCCCAAGCGUUAGGCGGAAUCACUGGGCUUAAAGCGUGUGUAGGCGGACGCCUAAGUGUCUUGUGAAAUCCCACGGCUCACCCGUGGAACUGCUGGGCAUACUGGGCGUCUUGGGCCAACUAGGGGCAGCCGGAACAAGCGGUGGAGCGGUGAAAUGCGUAGAUAUCGCUUGGAACGCCGAAAGUGAAAACAGGCUGCUGGGGUUGUGCCGACGCUGAGACACGAAAGCCAGGGGAGCAAACGGG
rnacentral:rRNA from 1 species